rnacentral:rRNA from 1 species
AACGUAGGAGGCAAGCGUUAUCCGGAGUUACUGGGCGUAAAGCGUGCGUAGGCGGGUUGGUAAGUGGGUGGUGAAAGCGCUCGGCUAAACCGGGCGAGUGCCAUCCAGACUGCCAGUCUAGAGGCGGAUAGAGGGGUGCGGAAUUCCGGGUGUAGCGGUGAAAUGUGUAGAGAUUCGGAGGAACACCAGUGGUGCAAACGGCGCCCUGGGUCCGAACUGACGCUGAUGCACGAAAGCGUGGGGAGCGAACGGG